rnacentral:rRNA from 1 species
GGAAUCUUCGGCAAUGGGCGAAAGCCUGACCGAGCAACGCCGCGUGAGUGAAGAAGGUUUUCGGAUCGUAAAACUCUGUUGUUAGAGAAGAACAAGUGGGAGAGUAACUGUUCCCACCUUGACGGUAUCUAACCAGAAAGCCACGGCUAACUACGUGCCAGCAGCCGCGGUAAUACGUAGGUGGCAAGCGUUAUCCGGAAUUACUGGGCGUAAAGGGUGCGUAGGUGGUUUCUUAAGUCAGAGGUGAAAGGCUACGGCUCAACCGUAGUAAGCCUUUGAAACUGGGAGACUUGAGUGCAGAAGAGGAGAGUGGAAUUCCAUGUGUAGCGGUGAAAUGCGUAGAUAUAUGGAGGAACACCAGUGGCGAAGGCGGCUCUCUGGUCUGUAACUGACGCUGAGGCUCGAAAGCGUGGGGAGCA